ensembl:misc_RNA Y_RNA Y RNA
GGCUGAUCUGAAGAUGAUGAGUUAUCUCAAUUGAUUGUUCAGUUACAGAUCCAACUCCUUGCUCUAUUCUUUCCUCUCUUCUCACUACUGUACUUGGCUAGGAAAA